GUUAGGUCAAAGUUUCUUAGCUUUAAGUUGAUUUGGUGCAAUCGGACGAGUCUGGUUUUCAGUCAGAUCUCUGAGGAUUAACCAGUUUGAGUUGGAUAGACAAAUAUCAGGAUUGG